UACGUAGGCAGCGAGCGUUGUUCGGAGUUACUGGGCGUAAAGGGUGUGUAGGCGGUUCUUUAAGUUUGGUGUGAAAUCUCCCGGCUUAACCGGGAGGGGGCGCCGAAUACUGAGGGACUAGAGUACGGGAGAGGAAAGUGGAAUUCCUGGUGUAGCGGUGAAAUGCGUAGAUAUCAGGAGGAACACCGGUGGUGUAGACGGCUUUCUGGACCGUAACUGACGCUGAGACACGAAAGCGUGGGUAGCAAACAGG
rnacentral:rRNA from 1 species